UACGUAGGGGGGCUAGCGUUGUCCGGAAUCAUUGGGCGUAAAGCGCGUGUAGGCGGUCCGGUAAGUCCGCUGUGAAAGUCGGGGGCUCAACCCUCGGAUGCCGGUGGAUACUGUCGGGUUUGAGUACGGAAGAGGCGAGUGGAAUUCCUGGUGUAGCGGUGAAAUGCGCAGAUAUCAGGAGGAACACCAAUUGCGAAGGCAGCUCGCUGGGACGUUACUGAUGCUGAGACGCGAAAGCGUGGGGAGCAAACAGG
rnacentral:rRNA from 1 species